AUAAACAACCUUGAAACCAGCACAGAUGAAUUAUGGCUUCUUCUUUGGCAACAGGGCUGAAAGACAGAGACUUUCUACAAUCUCGGAAUCAUCAAUACCCACAGAUUCCGACACUGGCAGCUCAUUCAGUCCAGUCUCCCAUCUUUCUGAUGUCAUCUUCUCCAGCAUAGUCUGUAUCUUCUAAUUCUGUAUUUUCUAAUUCUUCCUGCGCUAUGAAAUCUCAUUAUACAAAAUAAAAUAUGUAUGAAAGAGAAAUAGGAGGUGAGGCAGCAUAUUGAAAAUCUGGGAACUCUCCUUCCUUACUGCAGUCUUUUGUGACAGUUGCGGAAGGAAUAUCAGACCAACAAUUUUGAGCAACAACAAAACUGUUGGUCACCAACAAUAAUCUAAAAGUUUCCUGACUGAAACUUUUUGAGAGGAGUCUGCUCAGGGAUAUGUUUCGUGUAAGUGCUUGCUGAGAAUUUCAGUCACAAGCCCUUUUUCCCAAGGCAAUCUUUUUGCUUUAAGAUGAUUGUGUGUACUCCACUUCAGAGGUGAUGCUUAAACCUUCAAAGUAUCUAGUGCUAGUGCUAAACUUUCUACCUUUCAAAGGCUUUAACCUUUCUGUGAUUCACUUAUACUCCCAUUACAGGCUCAUAGUGUCCCCCCAGUGAUGAUCUUUCUUCAUUGUGUAUUUCUUAUUUUCUUGAGACUGAUGUAUCUAAAAAUAUUCACAGCCCAAGUAGAAUUACCUAGUAUUUCCUCUGGUUAAGAAGGUUUUUACCCUGUAUUUGGUGAUUGUAAGCAUGGAGGUUUUUUGAUCAAGGUAUGCUUAGUUUCAAAGCUGUGUGAUAUAUAGAACAAAUCUUAAAUUGGAGGAAGGGGUUAAAUUACUUCAUUAUUUACUUGAACCCCUGAGACUAACAGGUGCAUAUUGGAAAAGAUAAGGAGAGAUGUUUAAAGCCAGCUGCAGACAAGCUGUUAUUUCACUGUGUCUCUGAGAAACCAUGGGUAGAUUGUCUCAUCGUCUCAUGAUGAUGGCCGCUGCCCCGAGCACUAACCAGUAUCCUCCUGUACAGCUCCUCUUCUAGGAGAAACUGAGAAAUAAUUACUGUGGAACUACCCUGAGCUCUAAAUAGCUGUUAUUCUUUAGGUACACUACCUACCAAGAGGUUUCAUCUGCAAAUAAUACCUCUUGAGAAAGUACGCAGGCAGGAUGUGAUAAUUUACAAAAGGCCUUAAGAGAUUGCAAUAUAAAUGUCACAGCUGGGUACGUUUGCAGUUCACAGUAGGUUUGGAGAUACAGAUCCUGAGGCCAGAUCCUUUGCUGCUGUGCCUCAGUAGAAUCGUGCUGACUUAGACAAUUUUCAAGACUUGAUUUUCAAAAGAGCUUUCCUAAGAAUAGUUCAAAAUUUGAAUAAGUAGUACAUGUCAAAUGGGGAUGUUUUUCUUUUUUUAAUUUAGAAGAAUUUUAAUUUAUUUUACAAUUUUUUUUAAAUAAAGCUGGAAACAACGAGGGAUUUUCUUCUGAACCAGCUUUUGAAUAAACAUUUCUUUGAGUAAUAAUGUGAAAAUGCAUUUUUGGCAGAAAAUGGCAUUAUUUUCCUAGGAAAUUCUUGGCUAGUGUGACCUCCAAGUCCUGAGACUGUGGAUGGGGGUACAGGGAGGAGGGUGAAAGGAGGUGAAUGAAAAGCCACAUUGCCUCCCCAGCUCUGAGCAGCCAAUGGAGGCUCCCACACCAAGACAGCUGGGGAAGCAAAGUGGCCACAGGGGGCAAGAGACACCUGUAACAGUGAUCAUAAAAUCUAGACAAAAGACUUAAUGAGUCUUCUGCCCAUAAAAAAAAAUAAGGUAAUGCUGCUGGAGGACAAGGGGAUAAAGGAUUAAUUAAUCCCAAAUUUGAGAAGAAUACAGUCUCAUUCAAUGAGAUUUCAUUGUCCUAAUUUUACCUCAUUCUGUUACUGACUGACUAAUCUUUUGUUCUGAAUUAAUGUUUCCUUCCUAUAAAAAGCAAUGUGAUGGAAACUUCUUUUAUCUUUUCAUACAUCUGUUCUCUUUCCUAGUGCUUUUGACUUGAUAUUUGGAGAACAGUGGCAGGAACUUGAACAGAGAGUCAUGUAACUCCUUCUUCCUGUGUUUUUACUGGAAAUCCCAAAAGGAGUGGUUGGCUUGUUCUGUGCAUCGAGAAAUUAACCCUGAUUCCCCUUAGCUCUGUACUGAGAAAAUUCUCUAGGGUCCAUCUGAAAGACCCACACAGCCACUCCCCUGAAGCCUUUCGGUAUCCCUGAAGUAGAGUUUCAUUAGAAUCCAGCUAUUUGAGUUUCACCUCUGCCAAGGAUUUGGCUUCAGACUCUGGUAGCUUCCAACACCUUCUGAUGUAGGGGCAGGCCUUCGAAAGGAACCAGCCACUGCCAUGAAUCUGGGCUCUUGCAGUAGUUCGUGCUUGCAGUCUGGAGUGUAGAUAGAGUUAAAAUAAUCCCUGUUCUAACAGUUCACCCAUCUCAUUUUUACCACUGUGCCCUCUGGUAAGGAUGAUUGACUGUAAGAACCAAAUUUUGUUCUCAGAAGCUUAGAAAGAGGCUUAACGCUGUGACAGACAAGAAACUUCCUAAGAAAACGAAGGACAAAAUGACAACAAGAAAGUUUACAAAGAAGGAACAUGGGAUUUAACAACAGUGUACAGAAAAAACAAGCUAGUUCCAAAUUAUAAAUGCUGAUCUUGGAUGUCUGAGGUAAACAGAGAAGGUUUCCAUGUUUCCCAGAUUUUUUUCUGACACCUAAUGUGGGCAAGAUGAUCAUUUGGUGGGAAUUCAUGUAGUUCCAAGAAAGUGCAGUUGCUGGUUUACAGCAAAUGAUAUGUGGCCCUUUGUGUCUAUAACCCACAUCAUGGGUAUUUAUCGGUUUAAGUUUUCUAAAGUGUAUGUCUCUAGAUCAUUCUUUGGAAAGCUGAAAGAAAUCAGUGACUCCCUCAUUUCAUUGUACUUGGCCUUACAUGGUUUAAGGCUAUAGCAAAUACAAUUUUUCCUCUCUGUUAUAUGUGAGUCCUUUCUGAUACUGAGAACAUUAUAUUGUCUUCACAAAGGAUUGAUGCUGUUUAUUGGACAUAAAACUAAAGAGGACGCUAAAAACAAUUAUAAUAAUACAGUAUCUGCAGACAAAUGGCUUUUCUGACACAAAACAACAAAAUGAGUUAUUAAUCUAAGUGUCAAUUAAUGCUUUUAAGAUGCUUUAAUUGUACAGUAUCUAUUUCAGACUCAUGAAAUGUAGAAGUAAUUUGGGCUAAAAGAAGAUAUGAUUCACAGUCAAUAUGUAACUGUGACUUGACAAGGGGCUUAAUAGCUGCCUGAGGCAGAUCAGAAUGUGUGAUAAUGAGAAUCUAGCAGAAAAACACAUCAUGGAACUGAACUGCAGAGUUUCCCUGGGUAAAUGGUGUCAGAGCUGGUCAUGCUUCUACAAGGCAAAAAGGCAGAAGCAGUCAGUGACUCUGCAACCUUGGAGUUAGUUACUUAUUUUUGAAGUAAAUACAUGUAUUCAACCUUGGAGUUAGUUACAAAUACUUAUUUUUGAAGUAAAUACAUGUAUUAAUUCAUAGUCGUAUUAAUAUAUAAAUGUACAUACUUUUUAUUUUUUAUAAUGCAGUUUGGUGAAAUGCAUUUUAGCAUGACAGAGAAGUGGGAUCAUAAUAAAGACUUAAAUUUACUGUGCUCCGUUGUCUAUUCAUGUCACUUGCCAAGUCCUUUCUGAAAAGCUGUAAAAAGAAAAUUAUUUCCUGGCUUAGGUUUAGACUUAACUCUGUUCCCUUCAUUUCUACUGUACUCUUCUCUGCAGGGGAUCGUUUUACAUUUUCUUAAUUGCAGAGAGAGAUUGUUGUGUUGGCAGUGGUUGUACUGAGAAAUGGGUUUUAAUGAAGUGCAGUCCACUUACUGCACUGGAACUUUAGCACCUGCAAGCUGAAUGAUAGCAUCCUGUCAAGUUGAUGUUGAUGACUUUGUCACCAAGGGGACAGAUUUAUUUCCACCCAUGCAUUUUAUAGCAAAAUUGGACUUUAAAAACGUUUUGUCAUGUUGCUUUAUGACUACCUGUAUUUUUCUGUUUGAGAAUAUUGCUGCUUGGAAGUAUAACAAAGGGGAAGCUACUGGCUGGACAUUAAGGUGAGACUCCUCUCAAGUAACUUUCUAUGCUGCAGAUGUUUGUAGCCAGGGCAGGUACACAACCUUCCCUUUAGAAUCAGGGAGAGAAAUGGGUGGUUUAACCUUUUGUAGAAAUCAAAUUUUAACUGAGAUGAACCCCAUUUCAGCCUCUUUGCCUAUAAAUACCAUCCUGUACCUGGCUCUGCAAACAGCAUUCCUAGAGGCACACUGAUAGAGGACUCCACAUUGCUCAUAGGCUGCCCCAUCAGGAGGAGACUGAUUGCACCCCUGCUGCAUAUCAGCUUUCAUUUGAGAAACUCUCCAAACCAGAUCGCUCUCCAAAACUGAUCACUUUCCAGGGCUUGUAAAUCCCACUUGGAGCAAAUUAAGGAAAACAUUGCAGACCAUCUCUAAAGGAAAAAUAGUCAUCUUAUAUUUUUCAGGAUCUUAUCUAUGAGAAAAUUAUGCACCACUUAUAGGCUUCCUAGUGAGUGACAUGUACUUUCAGUUCAUGCUUGCUCAUGUCCUCUCUCCAAUGGCUUUUAAAUCCAGUUGUGAAUUUCAGACAUAUGAAAAAGAGAAAAUAAUGUUUCAAAGACUCUGUAUUCUUAAUUUUUUUUUUUUAGAAAAUCUGUGCUUGAAUACAGAAGAAAAAGCCUAGUUAAUGUUACCAUAAAAGAAAGGCAGCACCAUCAGCUGCUCACGGACUUGCACCUGGCUAAACUGGGGAACACACACUGGCUGCCAUGCCAGCACCAGCAGGCUCUGGACAAGCCACUGCACCCUGCUCUUUCUCUAGCUGGUAGCUGGGGAUGCAAUAGGAAAACAAGGACUUCAGAAACUUAAGAGCAGAAUCUCGGGUUGCUGAGAGAGAAAGGCAUUAGGAAGCUGCUGGGUGUGUGAUGAAAUGCUGAGUAGAUAAAAAUCUAUAGGAAUUCAGGCUUAAACUGAUUGUUCUGCACAUGUAAUUUCCAAUCACUUGUAACUUUGUAAAUACUGUUCACUUCUAGAGGUCGCAGAAGGAUCAGGAGAAUUUGAGGGAAUAAAAUGUACAUACUGUUCAGAAACUGGAGCAAACAUCUGGCUUGCUUCACCUGCAGCAUCACUUCCUGUAAUCCUCCAUUCCCUGCUAAGAAAUCCUCUUAGCAUCCCUCUGAAACACAGGUGUAAAGAAAAUUGCACUCUGUCUGGGCUUCUAUUUAGCUAAAACAAAAGAGGCAAUCUCUGCUGCCUGGGUAUUGUCCAAAUGUUAUACUUAAUUUGUCUACCUAAACAUCUUAAUGAGGGAAAAAAGGUAUAGAAAGGCAGUUCCUUUGAGCAAUUUAUCACAGAAUAAAGGAAAAUUCAACAGUGGAAAGUCUGCAAGGCACAAAACACAAAUUCAGUGGGAAGUGAAUCAAGGCUGAAACACCCAAUAAGAAAGGAAGAAAAACUGUGUCCCCUCACUUGUCAGGCUGGUUAUAUCCAACUCAAACAACUGCUUAAAAUCAGCAUGUGCCUGUCUCUGUUGUGUCUUCUGACUUAGACCUCCUCAGCCUUUGAUUUUUUUUUUUUAGCUAUUCAGAGCAUCUCGUGGGCCUUGUGAUGUUCUGCCAGUGUCCCCAGCGCUGCUCUGCUCAGUCCUCAUUCUCUGGCCUGUCCUAUUGACCAACUUCUUGGCCCUUCAGCUUGAGACUCCAUGAUCCAGGAGUUAGCAUAAAUAAGCUGACAACAAUAGCAACAGCAGCUGGAAGUACUCGAGAGAGAAUGACAGUGAAGGACCCAGGAUGAGUGGCAAAUGACAGUAAAUAAGAAAAGUGACUUGAAAAGGCUCUGGGCCCCUAGUGGCCCUAAGAAUAGUGAAUUGGGACAACAAAAGCAAGAGUGCACUUCGAAAGAAAACACGAAUGUGCUCUUCCUCCUGGCCGCAUCUGAACCCUUUCUCAACUUAUAGAUCAAUGCAGAAGCAAAGAUGUGCUGAAUCUUUCAUGUGGCUGUGCUGUUCUAUAAUAAAACCUGAACAAACAGGUUUUGUUUACCAGCCUUCUAGUGAAGCCACAUUUUUCAAUCAGGACUCUUCUCAUGUACCAUUCUCCAGCCUACCGAAGCAGGUUAGGGCUUCCCUUGACAUUGACAAAGCAGCACCAACUUCCAUUGGAGAGUCUCUUUGUAAUGGAAACAAUGUUUAGUUUUUGAGUAUGAGGAAUAAAUAUUUUUUCCAGCAACCCAAGAGUUCAGUCAAAAGCAGGUGCCACCAUUCUGUGAACUUGGCAACAACUUUUGGUGGUGUCUGAAUAGACAGACUUUGCAAAAAGACCUGGAUUUUAGUCAUAAGCUUUCUCCCCUUGGAUAAACAGCUUCACAUAUGUAUUGUCCUGCUUGUUUAGUCGCUUCAUUUUUAAAACUGGGUUUUGUCAAGGCAAACAAUAUGCUAGGUGCCUUGUGAAGUACCUACAAACAACUUUCUUAGCCAAAGAUGGAUUCUUGACCUUUUUUCUGCCACUGGGAGUCUCAGAAGAAGCUUGGGUCAAAGUACUGGAUGUCAGGGAAUUUUGUUAUGACUCAAUGUACAUAGUUUUACAAUGUUCCCUGUUUAGUGAAUUACUUUUGUUUUCAUAUCAUUAUGCUGUUUUAGCACCUCCUUAACAGAAGACUAUUUUGAAGGGCAGCAGCUGCAAAGAAACUGGCAGUAGCAUGACAUCUCACCUGACAGCAAAACUCCCUUCUCAUUGCAGUGACCACAGCUUGCACACAUCUGAAAACUUUGUCAUCAUUCAUGAAAAAAAUAAACCCUUUAACUACGACCUGCUAUCACUGAUAUCCCUCCUCUCUGCAGACCCUGGCCAAGACAUGAAUAUUCUUUCUGAUAGUUCCCUUCUAUGUCUGAAUGCAAUUUCAUGGAAAAUUAAAUGUGACAGUAGAACUUGCCAGUGACUGUGAAGUGAAUGAUAAGUCUUCUCUCUGCUCCCCAGUACACUCAGUGUUCAUAGCACUGAGUUUGGCAGAGCUGCUGGGUUUGCUCAUUUCCUUUACUCUGGGCCAAGAUUCCCAGUAGUGUCAGGACAAUUUUAGAAGCAAGAUACACUCAACUGAACUUCAUCUAUGAAGAGAUGAACAGGUGCUUAUAGCUGAGUUGUCAAGUCCAUAUGAUCAACACUUGAUGGGUUUUUUUUCUUUUUGAAAUAGAGUAAUUUUGAGUAUGGAUUUUUGACCAGUCCUCAGAUUUCAGGAAGCAAUCUACUCCUGAACUGAUUCAUGCUGGGGAAAACAAAAAUGCAGAGAAGAUAGAAACAAAAUCUGCAGUAUGCAGAGUAAUUUUCAUGGGUGGAGUAGUGGCGGUGCCUGUUGCUGGGGUUGGAGCGGUUGCAGGGGCUGUUGUCACAUUGUCAGAUUUAAAGACCUUUUCCUCCUAAGGACACUGAGCACUGUUGAACAUGUCUUGAUAGGCCUGGGCCAGGCCCCAGCACAUUGUAGAGAUUUGGUUCUUCUGUGGGGUGCCAGGAUGAUAAGACACUUUUUAAGAAUAUUUUGCUUCAUUCCUGGAUUCUGCACAUAUUGAGGGGUAAGGUGCAAACACACUGGAGGUGCCCACUGCCCUAGGGACUUACUCAUACAAUCCCAUCCACCCCAUCACUCUGAACUAUCCAGUUUUUGGGUAGAUCUCUGAGUAAUAUUCUUAUUUAUUUGUCUGGCCUUAAAGAAGGUCUGAACCUAUGCAAGAACAUGCUGGCUCCUAGCAAAAAGACCAGUUUGGUUUCAAGGGUAGUCACAGGAUAUUCAAAAUCUUUAAAAUUCUUGACUAGUCUAAUCAGUCUGGAGGACAAGGAAGGAAUAAAGAAGGGGUGAAAAAAAUAGGAAAGUGUUUCCCCCAUAUGUUGUUCCUCUGAGAAAAUGGAAAAAAAGCCAAAGGUGUGAUUUUCUAGUAGAUGACUCCCAAAGCACAGAGGUGCCUGCAAUACUGAAUGCAUCCACUAUGUUUGUGUCCCGAUAAGCAGCACUGUCAUAUCAGAAAUACACCCUAUGAAAUACACCACAGAGAGCACGUACUGCAAGUGAGGUAUUACAGAUAUAACUCAGACAAAAAAACACAAAUAUGACGGCAAAUAAGUCCACAUUUUAACUAGCAACUAUUGUUAAACCAAUACAAUGAAUGUUUAUAGCAAUUUUCUUUUAACACACUCUGAUCCUUAUCUCAACCCUUGGUUCCUCUGUUCGGGUGCCAAAAAAGGACUGUCAUGGUUUUAAACCCAGCUGGAGACAAAAUACCAUCCCAGCUGCUCACUUAAUCUCCCUCUGCCUGAUGGAAUUGGGAGGAGAAUUGAAGUAAACUUGCAUGUUGACACAAGAACUGUUUAAUAAUUGAGAAUAGAGUAAAAUACAAUAAUGACGGUGAAUAAUGGUGUUAAAAAUGGAACAAACCAUUGAUGCACAGUACAAUUGCUCAUCACCUGCUGACCGAUGCCAGAGCUCCCUUCUCAAACCCAGAUUGGCCAUGCUUCCAGGUAUCUCUUCCCAGUUUAUAUACUGGGAGUGAUGUUCUGUGGUGUGGGAUAUCUUUAUGCCCAGUUUGGGUCACCCCUCCCUUCUAUGCUCACACCCCGUUUUUGUUUUUUUUUUUAGUGAAUCUUUUCACUGAGACAAGGAAAAAUGAAAGUCCUUCACUUAGAAUUAAAUGACUUUGCAAAAAAAUGCAUCAGUCAGUGUGUUAUCAACACCUGUCUCAUUAUAAAUCCAAAACACAGCACUGUAACAACUACUGAGAAGAAAUUAACUCUAUUCUAAUUGAAACCAGGACACUGAGAUAGGCAAAAUAGUUGUUAGGCAAUAUCCAGAAUGCAUUCUUCCAUAAUACGUUCUCUCAAGCCUGAUAACUCAAUGGAUUUUAACUUGUCUGCUGUGCUACAUUGCAUGACUACAAAUUAUAUUUCAGGGAAGGAACACAGCUGGUGCAUCCACCUGUGUAAAGAAGUGAUAAGGAAAGGUUAUGAGGAAUCAUGAAGUAGUAAGGAGCUGGAGGCUAGGGAGUUCCAUGAGGAGGACAUGGAAAUAGACAGGGCAUGGACACCCUGACAUACAAUCAGUGAAUUUAGUCUACAGAUUCUGAAAUUUACAACCUGCAAGGCUGAAGAUGUGGCAGUUGACAUGCUCCAAUUGAACUGGAAGUAUCAGAGACCCAUGUCCAGAUCAGCAAAGACAUAAAUCAGCAGGAACCUAACUGGAGCAUCUGAAUGGAUGCUCAUACUGCUGAGUAGUGACUUGCGAUAGGAGUGUGUUUGUGGGGUGAAACAGUUGCCACUAGGGAUACACUGUCCAGGGUGGGGAUGUGGAGGGGGAUGGAGGAGGCUGUUAAUGCCAUUAGUUUUGGAACACACUAGAUACCACCCAACCCAGAAGCAUGUCUUCUGGUUUAAUCUAAUCUGAAAGCAAGCCAUCUUGUGUACCCUGAGACAACUCCACAAAGCAAACAAAAAGAGGACUGAUAGGGUGACUGACUUUAAAAACAUGCCCUGAGUGUAAUACCAUCUCCAUUUCUCUAACAGUAUAUAACAACAACCUGAAUGGAAAUCAUUCCCAUGGGCAGGAAAAAGGUUGGUUAAGAGGUGAACUAAUACUCAUGGGAAACAAAGCAGUGCUUGUUCCAGAGUUCUCUGUUUAGGAUGUUGAAGUAUUUAUCACGCAGCUGUUAACAGUUUGUAAAAUGCCACAGACCCACAACUCCAGCAAACACUGAUCACCUGUGCCUGGAUCUCUGUCUCUGGCACCACAGACCUCUGAUCUCGCCCUGGGACCUGGGGUGAUGCUGCAUAGCCAGUAACACAAAACCGUUUCUAUUUCCUCUGAUCAUUAAUCACUCAGGAUUUCAUUGGUACUUAAUGGCAAUACUUUGGGCACUCCUAUAAAGGCUAUAAGAUUUCUCAUACUUGGAGCCCUUCUGCCUUUCUAAGGCACUCGCAUUUUCUUUUUCUAGGAAUAGCCUUGCUGAUAAAAUGAGUCACCUAGCCCUCUGCCAGCAGCGAACAUGAUGACUGAUGCUUAAAUGGCACCUUUCACGCUAGGAAUGUUUAAACCUAUGUGUGGAAUCCUUCCCUGGCUGCUGGCUGUGCUGUCAAUACGAUGCCAGAGCCUUUCUACAUGCACAGACCAGGAGGUCUCAGUGUGAGGAUUCAACACCCUUCGUUACUGCCUUGGAAAGGAUCUGUGUGUGAGGCUCUGACAUGGCUGGCAGGCUUAAAUAUUACACAGGGAGUUAUGGUGCUCCUAGGCCAUGUUGAGGGAACAGCAAUGGAAGUUCACUGUGCAAGUCCACUGGUGAGGUUCCUGCAGCCAUGUCACACGCACCUCUUCUCAUUCUUCCUAGUGUGCCAACAGCUUGAUCCUCUAGCACACCAGUGGUCUCCUGCGUGCUGCAGAGAUCCAGGCAGUAGAGCAUGAAAAGGUAAGUGAUGUGAGCUUUAAUGUUUAUUCUGUUCCUAAUGGCUUAACACAAGCAAGACUUGACUGUCUGCCUUAGAAGCAUGAAUUAAUUUCUCCGGGAUGUGGUGUCUAGCAGCACUAAUGUUAGAAAGAAGACUAAGUAUUUAAUACUGAUAUUUUAUGGAAUGCUCUUCAUGGACAGAAUCACAACACAAAGGCAUCUGAGGAGCAAACACCUCAGCUGUUCCUUCAGCCAGCCGGCCAAACACAUCUUCAGCUUCUCUACCACAAAGUACCUGAUUCAGAGAAACCUGUAAACUGUAGAAAAGGAAAUAGAAAAGUAAACUUGAACCUCAUUUUUUCUUCUAUGAAAUUUGAAUUUCUGCAGGAUCUUACAAGAUAAUAUUGCAAGUAUCAAAUAAAAAUAUACUUCAGUUACAAGGGAAGUCACUGUUGCUACAGCCAGAAGUAAGUGAGAGAUUGAAGAGGAUGGCAUCAUUCGGUGUUGAUGGGAGCCUUGGUCUUCUGAAAGCUGUGCACAUCUGUCCAGCAGCAUCAAGAGUUUUCUAUUUAAAGUCAAGCACUGGUUCGCUGAACCUGACUCAAAGAUAACUGCCGCUUGUUUCACAGAACUGGAAAAUUAAUUGGUGUGAAAUGUAUUGGAAAACAGAAUGGUAAUUCAUAUGCCUCAGCCGUUUCCUUAUUAGGUAAAACAAGCUUUUGAUUGUUCUCCCAGGGCAUACAAUACCUCAAUAUGCUGCAAAAUAGGCUUUUAGAAAAUGAGCCAGCAUGACUUGCAUACCUCAGUGACCACUUUUGUGACAAAUGCAAAUGAAUACUUUGAAUCCAAGGUCAAAGUCUUAAUCAUCAAAAUGGCAAAGGCUCAGUCACUAAUUUCUUUAGAUGUACUCUUCACCCUACAUAAACAGCCCGCCCUGGGCUGACUGGGACACAGUGGGGUUUGCAGAAGACAGGGACCACUGGUUGUCCCUGUGAUGAGUUCCCUAGACAGCUACACUGUAAAUUCUUCACAGCAGAUGCAAAAGAAACCAGCAUGGGACCAAAAUCCUCCUAUGGAAAAGGGAAGACCACACAUUAAAAUAGCAGGAUUAGAAGCUCAUAAAACAAAAGGGUGGCUUAGGGUUCUAGAUGUAUCAUAUUACCAAUGAUCUUUUACAGUUGCCUCUGCUCCUUGGAACCACUGAAUCAUUUUCUACUUGGCCAUGUUUGGAAAUGUCAGCUUUUUCCAAAUUAAUUCUAUCUGGUUGCAUCAACUGAAAAUUCAGAGUGGCUCAGUGACUUAGUGUGGGAAAGACAGUUGCGUAGAAGAAUAUAAAUUAAUUCAUUAUCCUGGCAGAAUUAAGCUCAUUUUAAUAGCACCGCCCCCUACGUUGAACAAUGCUAGAAUAAAAAUUAAAAGGUAAGUCCUUUAGCAGGAAGUGUUCCUUUUUUGGUCUACACUGUUUUUCAGCAAGUAAUGAUAACAACAUCCAUAAUAAGAGGAUGCAGGAGGUCUGGAUGCUCUCUGACUCUAUCCCUGAGGAAUGGGGUGAUGAGAAAUUAUGUUGACUUAAGCAUAUGACCAGAAGGAUUAAUUUUGAUUCUGUAGUCUUGGUAUCAGCUGCUACCUCGAAGGAGAUGAGUGUGUUGGUGAUGUUUCUAGGCUACUGAUUACUUGCUAUCCCUGACCUGAAAAAUGACAAGAUCCCUGAUUUCACAUUUCCAGCCUCACUACAGACUACUGCUAGGAGAGAGAAUUACAAGAGAAGGUAAGACUGUUUUAAAUACAUCUUUACAUCUGGUCACGACAUAGAUUUCUAGCUCAACAAUAACAUCUAGCCCAAGAUGUUAUCUCAUGGUGUGGGUUCAUUCAAGUAAUAACUGGGGUGAGGUUAAGUCAACACCACGUAGUGCAUACCACAGCAAAAUCCCUGUCCAAGCUGGCAGACAACUAAUUUUUAAAAGCUUGUCAGCCCCUCUGUGGUUUGUACCCUCUCUGGGACACUACUGCAUAUCUGCUCAACACACCAGACAAAUCCUCCAGGGUGCUCCCAGGCCACCCCCAGCAGCUGGUGGAUGGACUUUUUGCACGGGCAAGCAGCUGGCCUGCCACCUCCUGCCUCGUCCCUUCCCCACGGGCAGCACCCAGAGCAGCUGAAUGGGGCUGGUGCUGCUGUGCCAUCGACCGGCCAGAGGCUUCUCUCCGAACACUGCCCAAGUGGCUGUGAUUUAGAAUGUCUGCACUAGCACAGGCUAAUGGAAAACCAACCUGAUACAAAUGAGCUGCAACAAUCUCCAAGUGAAUGAUUUCUUGUGUUUUGCUAAUAUCUUUAAAUGAAUCAAACACCACAUUUCUAGGAGAUGCCUACAUUGUAAAUGGACUUUCUCACCGUGCAAAGGGUUUCCAACAUGACAUUUAUAUCCUAACCAUAUUGUGUUUGCAGACAUUCAUUUGUAAAGAUUUUCCUUUUCUCUUUCUGAAAAAAUUGCAUUUUUAUGGGUAAAACAAUCAGUGAAGGUGGCCACAGUGCCACUAUCCCCUUUAAAUUAUCAAAAAUAAAAAAUAAGCUUAAAUAAUA